AAUAAGUUGGCAGAAUAGUGCCACCGACUUAGGAUCGGUUCAUGGAGUUUACUUCCACUUAUUAAA
rnacentral:tRNA from 1 species